rnacentral:rRNA from 1 species
UACGGAGGGGGCUAGCGUUGUUCGGAAUUAUUGGGCGUAAAGGGCGCGUAGGCGGCUUUGCAAGUGACGGGUGAAAUCCCUCGGCUUAACCGAGGAACUGCCUGUCAAACUGCAUGGCUUGAGACCGGGAGAGGUGAGUGGAAUUCCCAGUGUAGCGGUGAAAUGCGCAGAUAUCGGGAGGAACACCAGUAGCGAAGGCGGCUCGCUGGGCCAUUCCUGACGCUGAGGCGCGAAAGCGUGGGGAGCGAACAGG